ACAAAGUACAAAGUUUAUGUUUAAAGCACCACAAAUUGCGAAGUCGUGAUUUAAAUGACAUUUUUCCCGUUCUGGUUAAACUAAGUUUCUAUUAUUUAAUAUGGAUAUUGUGGAGCGUAGUGUCAGCACUCAGCAGCUUAUUUAACGUGAUACUCUUUAACCGAGUAACAACUAGUGAGGUCAUAUUCAGGACCGAUCCAACAAUAUUGAGGGUUUUACUCCAAGUAAAAUUUU
rnacentral:sRNA from 1 species